GAUGAACGCUGGCGGCGUGCCUAAUACAUGCAAGUCGAGCGAACAGACGAGGGGCUUGCUCCUCGGACGUUAGCGGCGGACGUGUGAGUAACACGUGGAUAACCUACCUAUAAGACUGGGAUAACUUCGGGAAACCGGAGCUAAUACCGUAUAAUAUAUUGAACCGCAUGGUUCAGUAGUGAAAGACGGUUUUGCUGUCACUGAUAGAUGGAUCCGCGCCGCAUUAGCUAGUUGGUAAGGUAACGGCUUACCAAGGCAACGAUGCGUAGCCGAGCUGAGAGGGGGAUCGGCCCCACUGGAACUGAGCCACGGUCCAGACGCCUACGGGAGGCAGAAGCAGGUACUGGUCCGAACUGGGCGAAAGCCUGACGGAGCAACGCAGCGUGAGUGAUGCAGGUCUUCGGAUCGUAAAACGCUGUUAUUAGGGAAGACCAAAUGUGUCAGUAAAGAUGCAAGUCUGGACGGUCCUUCAGAAGAAAGCCACGGCGACCUACGU
rnacentral:rRNA from 1 species